UGGGGAAUAUUGCACAAUGGGCGAAAGCCUGAUGCAGCAACGCCGCGUGAGUGAUGAAGGCCUUCGGGGUUGUAAAGCUCUGUCUUUUGGGACGAUAAUGACGGUACCAAAGGAGGAAGCCACGGCUAACUACGUGCCAGCAGCCGCGGUAAUACGUAGGUGGCAAGCGUUGUCCGGAUUUACGGGCGUAAAGGAUGCGUAGGCGGAUUUUUAAGUGAGAUGUGAAAACCCUAAGCUUAACUUGGGGACUGCAUUUCAUACUGGAAAUCUAGAGUGCGGGAGAGGAGAAUGGAAUUCCUAGUGUAGCGGUGAAAUGCGUAGAGAUUAGGAAGAACACCAGUGGCGAAGGCGAUUCUCUGGACCGUAACUGACGCUGAGGCAUGAAAGCGUGGGUAGCAAACAGGAUUAGAUACCCUGGUAGUCCACGCCGUAAACGAUGAGUACUAGGUGUAGGAGGUAUCGACCCCCUUCUGUGCCGCAGUUAACACAAUAAGUACUCCGCCUGGGAAGUACGAUCGCAAGA
rnacentral:rRNA from 1 species